rnacentral:rRNA from 1 species
UGGGGAAUCUUCCGCAAUGGACGAAAGUCUGACGGAGCAACGCCGCGUGAGUGAUGACGGCCUUCGGGUUGUAAAGCUCUGUUAAUCGGGACGAAAGGCCUUCUUGCGAAUAGUGAGAAGGAUUGACGGUACCGGAAUAGAAAGCCACGGCUAACUACGUGCCAGCAGCCGCGGUAAUACGUAGGUGGCAAGCGUUGUCCGGAAUUAUUGGGCGUAAAGCGCGCGCAGGCGGAUCAGUCAGUCUGUCUUAAAAGUUCGGGGCUUAACCCCGUGAUGGGAUGGAAACUGCUGAUCUAGAGUAUCGGAGAGGAAAGUGGAAUUCCAUGUGUAGCGGUGAAAUGCGUAGAUAUAUGGAGGAACACCGGUGGCGAAAGCGGCUCUCUGGCUUGUAACUGACGCUGAGGCUCGAAAGCGUGGGGAGCAAACAGGAUUAGAUACCCUGGUAGUCCACGCCGUAAACGAUGAGUGCUAGGUGUUAGACCCUUUCCGGGGUUUAGUGCCGCAGCUAACGCAUUAAGCACUCCGCCUGGGGAAUACGACCGCAAGGUUG